UACGGAGGGGGUUAGGGUUGUUCGGAAUUACUGGGCGUAAAGCGCGCGUAGGCGGACUGUUAAGUCAGGGGUGAAAUCCCGGGGCUCAACCUCGGAACUGCCUUUGAUACUGGCAGCCUCGAGUCCGGAAGAGGUGGGUGGAACUCCUAGUGUAGAGGUGAAAUUCGUAGAUAUUAGGAAGAACACCGGUGGCGAAGGCGGCCCACUGGUCCGGUACUGACGCUGAGGUGAGAAAGCGUGGGGAGCAAACAGG
rnacentral:rRNA from 1 species